rnacentral:rRNA from 1 species
AGCGAACGCUGGCGGCAGGCCUAACACAUGCAAGUCGAACGGAUCCUUCGGGAUUAGUGGCGGACGGGUGAGUAACACGUGGGAACGUGCCCUUUGGUUCGGAACAACUCAGGGAAACUUGAGCUAAUACCGGAUGUGCCCUUCGGGGGAAAGAUUUAUCGCCAUUGGAGCGGCCCGCGUCUGAUUAGCUAGUUGGUGAGGUAAAGGCUCACCAAGGCGACGAUCAGUAGCUGGUCUGAGAGGAUGAUCAGCCACAUUGGGACUGAGACACGGGCCAAACUCCUACGGGAGGCAGCGGUGGGGAAUUUUGCGCAAUGGGCGAAAGCCUGGCGCAGCCAUGCCGCGUGAAUGAUGAAGGUCUUAGGAUUGUAAAAUUCUUUCACCGGGGACGAUAAUGACGGUACCCGGAGAAGAAGCCCCGGCUAACUUCGUGCCAGCCGCCGCGGUAA